ACAAAGAAGAGUUUGAUCCUGGCUCAGGAUGAACGCUAGCGAUAGGCCUAACACAUGCAAGUCGAGGGGCAGCAUAGGGUAGCAAUACUUUGAUGGCGACCGGCGCACGGGUGAGUAACGCGUAUGCAACCUACCUAUAACAGGGGAAUAACCCGGAGAAAUUCGGACUAAU
rfam:Dysgonomonas gadei ATCC BAA-286 genomic scaffold supercont1.5, whole genome shotgun sequence.